GCCCUUCUGGCGCAAUGGUAGCGCGUUAGACUUCUAAUCUAAAGGUUGCGGGUUCGAGCCCCGCGAGGGGUU
rnacentral:tRNA from 1 species